UUUUCCGUUUUCCAUGACAGUCUGAAAUGCACAUCGAAUCUCGGUGAAGCUAAUGCUAACAUUAGCUUGUCUUAAGUCGGAAAUGUACGAUUUGACCGGUAGGUUACUAGUAUUGUAGUGAAUGAAACAAAAGUGUGAAGACUAAUAAUGUGCAUGAGAUUGAACGUGAAAAUAUACGAGAAAAACACAGAAAAUCUCUGAUUCAUCGGCUCUGCAGACACAGACUGUUACAUUCAGGAGGUCAAAAUCAUCGCCGAGGAAUGAAGAGGAUAACAGUGAG